rnacentral:rRNA from 1 species
CAUUAGCUUGUUGGUAGGGUAAUGGCCUACCAAGGCUACGAUGGUUAGCUGGUCUGAGAGGAUGAUCAGUCACACUGGAACUGGAACACGGUCCAGACUCCUACGGGAGGCAGCAGUGAGGAAUUUUGCGCAAUGGGGGAAACCCUGACGCAGCAACGCCGCGUGAGCGAAGAAGGCCUUCGGGUCGUAAAGCUCUGUCAAGUGGGAAAAAAGCCUUCGGUUAAUAACCGGAAGGUCUGAUGGUACCACUGGAGGAAGCACCGGCUAACUCCGUGCCAGCAGCCGCGGUAAUACGGAGGGUGCAAGCGUUGUUCGGAAUUACUGGGCGUAAAGCGCGUGCAGGCGGUUUGGUAAGUCAGAUGUGAAAGCCCUGGGCUCAACCCGGGAAGUGCAUUUGAAACUGCCUUUCUUGAGUAUGGGAGAGGAGAGUGGAAUUCCCAGUGUAGAGGUGAAAUUCGUAGAUAUUGGGAGGAACACCCGUGGCGAAGGCGACUCUCUGGACAAAUACUGACGCUGAGACGCGAAAGCGUGGGGAGCAAACAGGAUUAGAUACCCUGGUAGUCCACGCCGUAAACGAUGAGAACUAGGUGUAGCGGGUAUUGACCCCUGCUGUGCCGAAGUUAACGCAUUAAGUUCUCCGCCUGGGGAGUACGGCCGCAAGGCUAAAACUCAAAGGAAUUGACGGGGGCCCGCACAAGCGGUGGAGCAUGUGGUUUAAUUCGACGCAACGCGAAGAACCUUACCUGGGUUUGACAUCCUCUGACUGCCCCGGAAACGGGGUUUUUCCGAUUCUGUCGGAACAGAGUGACAGGUGCUGCAUGGCUGUCGUCAGCUCGUGUCGUGAGAUGUUGGGUUAAGUCCCGCAACGAGCGUAACCCUUGUCUUUAGUUGCCACUAUUAAGUUAGGCACUCUAAAGAGACUGCCUCGGUUAACGGGGAGGAAGGUGGGGAUGACGUCAAGUCCUCAUGGCCUUUAUACCCAGGGCUACACACGUGCUACAAUGGGCUGUACAAAGGGUUGCCACUUCGCGAGGAGGCGCUAAUCCCAAAAAGCAGUCCUCAGUUCGGAUUGGAGUCUGCAACUCGACUCCAUGAAGGUGGAAUCGCUAGUAAUCGUGGAUCAGCACGCCACGGUGAAUACGUUCCCGGGCCUUGUACACACCGCCCGUCACACCACGAAAGUCGACUGUACCAGAAGUUGCUGGGCCAACCCCUUUUGGGGGGGCAGGUACCUAAGGUACGGCCGGUAAUUGGGGUGAAGUCGUAACAAGGUA